UUGUGUUAUAGAGAAUGGAGC
rnacentral:siRNA from 1 species